rnacentral:lncRNA from 1 species
UUCUUUUUUUUUUUUUUUUCGAGACAGAGUCUAGCUCUGUCACCCAGGCUGGAGUGCAGGGGCACCAUCUUGGUUCACUGCAACCUCCACCUCCCAGGUUCAAGUGAUUCUCCUGCCUUAGCCUCCUGAGUAGCUGGGAUUGCAGGCGCAUGCCACCACACCUGGCUAAUUUUUGUGUUUUUAGUAGAGAUGGGGUUUCACCAUUUUGGCCAGGUUGGUCUCGAACUCCUGACCUCAGGUAAUUAGCCCACCUCGGCCUCCCAAAGUGCCGGGAUUACAGGCAUAAGCUAACACGCCCAGCCUACAAUUUCAAAUAUAUGGAUCCUUAAAACAGUUCUGUGAGGUCAAAGCGGUAGGUUUUAUCCCUAUUUUGCAGAUUAGGAAAUGAGGUCCAGAGCAGUGAUUUUUUUUUUUUCAAGAGUAUUUAAGUAAUUUUUUUUUUUUACAGAACCAGUACUAGAACACAGGUCUUCUGACUUUUGAGCUUUUUGCUCUUCAGCUUUUCCUUAUAAAUAAAUGUUUGGAUUAAUGGAUUGAUGUCAAAAAUAGGUUCCUUUUAGUGUUUGCUCCUUCCGACUCCACUCAGAUUCUUUUUUUAAAAUUUCUUUCUAAAAAAGCAUAACUCAGAUUCUUAAUACAGAUUGUUCCAAAGCACAUUAGGAUGGUGGAGUUAUUCUUACCAACUUCAGUCUGAAUUACUUUUAAAUUUGUCCCCAAAGGUGGUUUUGACAUUAUGGGUUUUACUCUGAUCUUUAUUCUCGUGUCUUCUGAAGUUCCGUGUAAUAGAUACUCUAACCCAAGAAGUGAUGGCUAUUUAGAUUUUCUUUUGCAUACAAUUCUCAUUCCCAAAGAUGUCUCCCUUUGGUUGUCCAAAAAGCUUUCUGAGGUAUAGUUACUUUUAGAAGAGGAAAUACCGUUUUAAUUCAUUUGUGCUCUUGAGAUUGUGUAUGUGUGGUAGGUGUUUUUGUUGUAUUAUUACAGGUUGAUGAAAAGCCCAGAACCUUGAUGACAGAUUGUCUGGUUAUAAAGCAUUUUUUACGUAAAAUCAUCAUGGUGCACCCUAAGGUCAGAUUUCAUUUCAGUGUAAAGGUAAAUGGAAUCCUCUCCACAGAGAUCUUUGGGGUGGAGAAUGAACCCACUUUGAACCUUGGGAAUGGAAUUGCUCUUUUGGUCGACUCCCAGCAUUAUGUGAGGUGAAGGCGUAAAGCCUUGUUGUCCCUCUGCAUGUUUUACUCUCCUCUCGAGUACGAAUGUGGGUAGAAAUUGGAAAUUGUCUCACUUGUCAUUUGUAAGUGCCAGGUGUCAGCUUCUCUAUAAGAAAAGCAGAAGUAAAACUUUUUUUUAUGUUGAAAACUGCUAUUUUAAGUUAUUUAUGUAUUUGAAUCUAUUCUAAAUGACCUGAAGACAUGUGCCUUCUUCUCUUCAGGCCUUAUUUUACACAGACCCUGCUAGUUCCAAUCCCAUUUAGGCAUGAGAAGAGAAGACUAUGAAUUUAAAACUUUACUUGAAUUCUUGGCUAGAGAGAUAGUAUGAAUACAAAGGAAUUCAGUGUACAUUAUUUUCUGUGCAUCAGCAUUUUGCAUAGGUUUGGAAAUCAUCUCUCUGCCCAUCUCCAUCUUCUUCAGACUCCAAGAAAGUAAAUCUGGCCAGGCGCAGUGGCUCAUGCCUAUAAUCCCAGCACUUUGGGAGGCUGAAGUUGAUGGAUCACUUGAGGUUAAGAGUUUGAGACCAGCCUGGCCAACAUGGCAAAACCCUGUCUCUGCUAAAAAUACAAAAAUUAGCUGGGCAUGGUAGCACAUGCCUGUAAUCCCAGCUACUUGGGAGGCCAAAGCAUGAGAAUCACUUGAACCCAGGAGGUGGAGGUUGCAGUGAGCCGAGAUCACGCCACUGCACUCCAGCGACAGAGCAAGACUCUGUCUC